rnacentral:rRNA from 1 species
ACUCAAAUGAAUUGACGGGGGCCCGCACAAGCAGUGGAUUAUGUGGUUUAAUUCGAAGCAACGCGAAGAACCUUACCAGGUCUUGACAUCUAACUAAUAUCCAGAGAUGGGUAGUGCCCUUCGGGGAGUGUUAAGACAGGUGGUGCAUGGUUGUCGUCAGCUCGUGUCGUGAGAUGUUGGGUUAAGUCCCGCAACGAGCGCAACCCCUGCCAUUAGUUGCUACGCGAGAGCACUCUAAUGGGACCGCUACCGACAAGGUGGAGGAAGGUGGGGACGACGUCAAAUCAUCAUGCCCCUUAUGACCUGGGCUACACACGUAAUACAAUGGCCGUUAACAGAGGGAAGCAAUAUAGCGAUAUGGAGCAAAACCCUAAAAACGGUCCCAGUUCGGAUCGCAGGCUGCAACCCGCCUGUGUGAAGUUGGAAUUGCUAGUAAUCGCGGAUCAGCACGCCGCGGUGAAUACGUUCCCGGGCCUUGUACACACCGCCCGU